rnacentral:lncRNA from 1 species
GCGAUUUAACCAAAGUGAGUCCUGGUUGGAGAGCUUACGGGCCACCCGACAGUUGACUUGGUGAAUCUGCAUAACGCCCGGAGUCCUGCCUACGGCCGCCUGUCUCCCAGGGCUCCUUCAGUCUCUUGGCCCCUAGGCUGGGCUGCGUGGCAGCAGGUUUGCCUACAUUCGAGAACGACAGCGCGCUUGGUCCCUCGGGAGCCCAAGGAGCAGCGGGGAGUCAGGCGUGGGAACCAGGGGCGCAGGACUCCUCUGAGCAGACCCACAGUUGCGAUGAGGGGGUGCUUUUCUGAAGGAGGCCUCCCACAGCCAGGGUGGGAAGUUGUAAAUGGGGUGCGGGUGGCGGAAGAGGUGGGAAGGGACCUGUUGGAUCAAAGCCAGCUUCGCACUAGAGGAAACACCUCUUGGUUCCUUAAUUACAGGAUGCCACGGAUUGGCUUUGCCUCUGGGUGUGGGGGCAGUAACCUGGGCUUUAAACAAACAGCCCCAUCACUCAGCAGUAAUGAGCAGCACAGAAAGCAUCUUCAGUGGGACAGGAUGGACAGGUGGCCCACAACACGCAGCCUCGGGCCUGCCCGGAGCCGAGCUCGGUGCCACACCUGGGGAGCAGAGGCUUUCUAAACCACUGGGCCAGAGUGGCGGUGACGAGGAGCCGAGAGGCCCAUGGGCAGUCCUCGAGCUGGUAACGGUGGCGGGAGGAGGCCUCCAGUCAGGAGGAGAGGAUCAAGCCGGCAGAUUGAUGCAGAAUGGAGAGGUGGCCAAGAAGUGUAAGCUUCCAGGUGAGGAAGGAGGAAGGCGUGGGAGGAGCUGGGUGGUUCAGGGGUACUGACCUGGGCGGCAGACGGAGCAGGUGGAGAGUGAGCCAGAAUCUGGAAUGCGUGAGAGCUGGGGUGGGGGACGGGCAGGGAUGGUCACAGUUCUCCGUGGGGUUGCUGAUGGAGGUUCCUGGGGCAGAAGACUCCUUGGUAUUUGGAUCUCUAGGCUAAGCAUGUCUCUGCCUUUGUGUCAGGCUUACAAGGGUUUUGUUUUGUUAUGUUCCACUUACUCUAUGCAGAAUCCACUCCUGGGCCAUACGUUUCCGUUUCUUCGGUUUCUUCUGGAAUAUCUUUUUCUUCUGUGCAGCCUGGUGUAGGAGCAAUCAGCUCCUUUUCAGUAAGGAUCGUCUCAACGUGGCAGGGAGAGCUCGUGUUUGGGCUAAUCGGACCAUGAGCCCUAUGAGUUCUACGCCGCAUCCUGGGGCCUUUGUUCACCUGGAUGUGCUCAGUGACCAGAGAAUCUACACGUAAACCCUUAAGUUCUGCAUCACGAUCCGCAUUUUUAAGCACCUGCAGUAAAAAUUCACCACUCUUCUCGGGCCACCGACCCUGUGCCCAGCCCGCUGCUUGGCCUGGGCCCACCUCCCAACUCAACACUGUAGCGACGGAACGGCACACACUGCUGCUGCAAAGUGACAUCUUCCAGAUACUUGGUGGCGUUUCAGAUAUGCGUGUCCUUGAUGGCCCGGGCAGCUUCACGUGUGUUCUUAAAGUGGACAUGAAGAUUUGAACCUAUUUAUUUCUUGAUUUUGUAGGGUUUUCUGGGUCAAGUGAAUAGUGAACCAUUUUCAGAGGUUUUCACCUUAGGCCACUUAGGGGAAGAGCUAGAAAGGUUUUCUCUGCUGCUAAAUUAUAUAUUUAUACAAAUUCUCAAUACUUAAAUGGGUUCUUUUUUUUAUGUUUUUAUUUAUUUAUUCAUGAGAGACACAUAGAGAGAGAGAGGCAGAGAUACAGGCAGAGGGAGAAGCAGGCUCCAUGCGGGGACCCCGACGUGGGGCUCGAUCCUGGGUCUCCAGGAUCACUCCCGGGGCCAAAGGCAGCACUAAACUGCUGAGCCACCCAGGGAUCCCAAAUGGUUUCUUUUUUUAAAGAAAUUUACAUUUAAUUCUUAAUCUAGGUAGAAUUUGUCAUAUUUUGGUGAAUUGUAAGAGUUAAGGAUUAAAUUCUUUUUUCCUACUAACUAAUGAUUAAGAUAUCUGUUUAGCCUCAAGGUCUGACAUGCUGACUCCGUCUUGCAGGACUUUUCCCCGAAUGCCUGGGUCUGCUCUGGGUCUGCCCUAGGCCUCUCUGGUCUUUUCCAGGGAAUUGUCUGUUUGUACACCAGUUCCUUCUGUUUUGAUCACAUUUUCUCUAAAUGUAUCUUAAUGGGUGCUAGUGUGAGGUAUAGUCGUCGGACUCUUUCUCCGAGUUUUCUUCGGUCUUUUAAGGUCGACUUCAAAAUCAAGGUGCCACGUCCUCUCCCUUGGACUGCAUAGUGGAGCCGGAAACAUGGGUGAUCCCAGUGGAGUCCUUUGCAUUCAUAAGCACCAAACAUACCAGGACCCAGACUUCAUGGGGCUGGACUUUCUUCUUGGUGUAGAAAUCACAUGGCCUCUUCAAGGAAGAAGCCCCUCACUACCGCGGACCUCCACUUGGGCCAUUCCACAGUCUCUGACCCAAAGACAGUCCUGUGGACCCUCAGAGCUCCCGUGUCUCUAGAAUGCGUAGCCCUAUGCUCCCCACUGUCGCCCAGCCAGCCCGCGCCGGCGUUUUCCUGUCCAUCUUGCAGGCCACCCUGCCUCCAGGCCGUGCCCUCUCCAAGCCUGGUCUCCUCUAAGGAUUUCCCUGUGGAUGAGCUCUGCGGAUCUUCUCCUAAUCUGUUUUUAAAUGUGUUAUUCCAGGAAGAAUUCUUCAUAAUCUCCAACACUGUGAUCGCUUCUUUCUAGUUUCUUCUGUGCAUGCAUGUUUUUACCUAUUUCACAUUUGCUUGGUUCUUUCUUUUCUUUUUUCUUCUUUCUUGCUUUCUUUUUCUUUCCUAAGUGACUUUUUUUCAGGAUUUUUUUUUUUUUUUUUUUUUUUUUUUUUUACUGAGGAGUAAUGAACAUACAGUGAAGUUAGAAGUCCUAAGCAUACUUCUUAGUGAAUUUUUAUAAUGUGUCUACUCUAUUGCCACCCUCCUGAUCAAGAUAUUUCGUAUGGUGUUAAGAAGCUACGGUGGGAGAUUGGAUAGAGAGGGAAAUCAUGAGUGUGUAAGUUCGUAUCUUUUUUUUUUUUUUUUUAAGAUUUAUAUAUUUUUGAGAGAGAGCUCCCGUGCAUGUCAAUGAGGAGGGGGCAGGGGCAGAGGGAGAGAGAGUCUCAAGCAGACUCCUGGCUCAGCAUGGUGGAACCCAGCACCCGGCUCCAUUGCUCGACCCUGAGAUCAUGACUCGAGUCGAAAUCAAGAGUCAGAUGUUUCACUGACUGAACCACGCAGGUGCCCCUUCCAGCUUUUUCUGGAACGGUCUUUGGAGGGUGUUCAGGAGGGAGCAGUGGUGUAGAGAGCAGAGUGGCAAGGAGUGGCGGGUCGUGUUCUGGUCCUCCCGUCACUAGCCAUGGGACUUCUGUGCCUCAGUUUCAACAACUGUAAAAUGGGAGUAGAUGAUAGCUCCUACCUCUCAAGGUUGUCAUGAAGAUUACAUGAGGCAGGACAUGUGAGCGCACAGAAAAAUGUUAAUUGUUGUUUUUGUUGUUAUUAAGAAGGAGGAGGAGGAGGGGGAGGAGGCAGUGGUUCUUAAUGAAGGACACGCAUCACAGCCACCUGGGGCACUUUUGCAAAAUACACGUGCUCCACCUGGCCAGACCUACUGAGUCAGAGUCUCGAUUUUAAAUGCCUCUCCAAGUGACCUGUUGCUCAUCUGUGGUUAAGAACCACUGGGCUGGGGGUGGCCGUGACUGGAAGCAGGAAGGCUGGUGGCCGGGCCCUGUGAAGGUGAGGGCUGGAGAGGGUCUGAGCUGGGCAGAGUCGUGGCAGAGUGGAGAGGUGGCCCGGCCCGGACGUGGCGGCCUUGGGUGGGGAGCAGGAAGGAGGGGGAGGAGUCUGGGGUGACUCACGGCGGCUGACCUGGAUGAUGGAGUGAGCAAGUGGAGGAUGGGAUGAGCCAGAAACCAGAACACAGGAGGGGCCAGGGGGCCGCAGACAGCUCGGGUUCUCCUGGGCCUGCUGCGGGAGGCUCCUGGGAGCGAUGACCAGUUAGCACUGGAGUCCCUAGGCCCCCGCGGGUGCUGUUUCUCGGGGAGUCAUUGGCGUGAAGGAGCUGGAGGCCUGGACCUAGUCGUAAAGCAAGUGCAGGGAGCGGAGGAGGGCCAAGGACGGGCGUCCCCCGGGAAGGCCUGCGCCCACUUUCCUGCUCCCUUCCUACAAGGGGAGAAGCGCUUACUCCUGGGGUCGAGCCCCUUGCUGACGGCUGCUGGGAACGGACUCACGUGAAGAUGAGUAAUGACUGUGGGUCACUUCCUCACAGUCCUCAAGGUUUUCCACAUCCCCCGGUAGAGGAGCUUAUCCUCACUCUCAGGACCCCCAGGCAGCUCCCGUGGCCAGGGCCGCGUCUUAUCGUCUGACGUCCCUCCGUCCUCCGUGUUGUCACAUGCGCGGCCUCCCGUCGAUGGCUUCUUAGACUCUGGCUUUCUUCAUCCUGUUCAUAUCCCCCCGUUGCCCUUUGGUAAGAAUUUAAGUCAUUCCGCUGCGUCUCCCAGAGACACUUAGACCUGCAGGUUUAACAGACGUAACAGAAACUGUUGGAUUCCUGGGGGAAGGCGCCUAGAAUGAGCGGAGCAUUUGCUCGUUUAGAAUGUGUCUGUCCAGGGCAGCCCGGGGGGCUCAGCGGUUCAGCACCUGCCUCGGCCUGGGGUGUGAUCCUGGGGUCCCGGGAUCGAGUCCUGCAUCGGGAUCCCUGCAUGGAGCCUGCUUCUCCCUCUGCCUGUGUCUCUGCCUCUCUCUGGGUCUCUCGUGAAUAAAUAAAUAAAAUCUUUAAAAGAAAACCA